UUGAUCACGCGGGAAUCUUACCGGGUCCGGACACACUGAGGAUUGACAGACAAACACAUUUUAUGUGUUAUAAAGAUGCUAGUUCUUUCAUGAUUAUGUGAUAGGUGGUGCAUGGCCGUUCUUAGUUCGUGGAGUGAUCUGUCUGCUUAAUUGCGUUUCAAUAUAUUAUUACGUAUACGUAUGACCCACGCGUGUUUUAUUAUGCGUUGUGUGUGUCUAGUAUGCUAUCAUUUGAAAGCAACGAACGUGACCGUAUCCUUUUAUUAUGUACGCACGCGUAUAUUUAUUCAUUAAAGGGACCGCUGUUUCUUUCUUUAAACCAGAGGAAGGUUACGGCAAUAACAGGUCUGUGAUGCCCUUCGAUGUUCCGGGCUGCACACGUGCUACAAUGAUUAUUUCAUUAAGUAUCUUAACACUGUGCACAUUUAUUGUGCUCAAAACCUACCCUGAGAAUGGGCGGGUAAUCAAUUAGAAGUAAUGAUUUCCUUUUUUAUAUACGCAAUCAUGUACCGUAUAUUACAUCCCACAUAUCUUAUUAUGUGCGUGUGUGUUUUAUUACCGUGUACGCGUAACUGUUAAUUCAUGGUGGGGAUACACCAUUGUUAAUUGUUGGUCUCGGUCUUA
rnacentral:rRNA from 1 species